GAUGAACGCUGGCGGCGUGCCUAAUACAUGCAAGUCGAGCGAACAGACGAGGAGCUUGCUCCUCUGACGUUAGCGGCGGACGGGUGAGUAACACGUGGAUAACCUACCUAUAAGACUGGGAUAACUUCGGGAAACCGGAGCUAAUACCGGAUAAUAUAUUGAACCGCAUGGUUCAAUAGUGAAAGACGGUUUUGCUGUCACUUAUAGAUGGAUCCGCGCCGCAUUAGCUAGUUGGUAAGGUAACGGCUUACCAAGGCGACGAUGCGUAGCCGACCUGAGAGGGUGAUCGGCCACACUGGAACUGAGACACGGUCCAGACUCCUACGGGAGGCAGCAGUAGGGAAUCUUCCGCAAUGGGGGAAAGCCUGACGGAGCAACGCCGCGUGAGUGAUGAAGGUCUUCGGAUCGUAAAACUCUGUUAUUAGGGAAGAACAAAUGUGUAAGUACCUAUGCACGUCUUGACGGUACCUAAUCAGAAAGCCACGGCUAACUACGUG
rnacentral:rRNA from 1 species